rnacentral:rRNA from 1 species
AACGCUCUGGCUCAAAUCAGGUAGGAUACCCGCUGAACUUAA